rnacentral:lncRNA from 1 species
ACCAGUCUUCUAGGGUCUGGUGUGUUUCUCCUGUGAGAAUUCAUGACAAGACAUACCUUAGAGAUAAGGGAAGUAAACAGUGGAACUGCACAGAGACUCUGGAGCCACAUCUGGGCUGGCAGCUGCAGCUGUGUUAACAGGUUUGUUGUGAACAACUGCAGAGCCCAGCUCAGGCACAACCUGCCAGAUCAGCGUGACCAGCCAAAAUAGGAUAGAAGCUAUUAUGGAAACCAGGAUGUAUUUAGGACUACAACCUACAUCAAUUACAUGUAAGAGAGAAUACCAUGUAAAGUAAUUCCAGUAAUUGGAAUAGAAAUAAUUUUUUAGACAUAUAGGGAACCAAAAGGGAAACACAGAUUGCUUUCAGAAAUUGCUGUGUUCUUUUAGCAAGGAGUAACAUGUACCUUGGUGUUGAGAAAAUAUGUAAGAAAGAUUAACCAUUGUGUGUUAUGCUUCACAAACUACCUCCACAGAAAUUCAGAGUUCACUUCAUUCUUAGCUCAAAACCCGUUUUGGGUAGAGAUCACUAUUGAUUUGAAAUGUAAAUCAAAAUUUCCUCAUGAAUCAGAGCACUUCAUUAGUCAUUCAUGUCAUUGUUCUUUCCAGUCUGACCUCUGUUUGCAAAAUGAUGUCUCUCUCCCAUUCUCAGAUUGAGAGUCAGCAAUGAAGGAGAAAGGUUGGGCAGCUUUGAAAAGGGUAACUAUUUGUCUGGAGUGCUUAUUUCAAUAUUUUCUGAUGUGAAAGCAAAAACACAUCAGAACUAAUUUCCUAGCCUGCUGUCAGUCUGCCUCUCUUCCCCAACAAGGUGCAAGUUCUGGGAAUUUGCUGAACAGAAAUUAUACUGCUCAUCCUGUCCUAAAUGGAGCUCUUACUUUCAUUUUGAUGUGCAAGUGUUGCAUGGAGUGGAACUUCAUUUAACAUACACUAUAUGAUAUUCUAGCCCCUGAUGCCAGUGGUGCACGGCUGAAUACCAAAAUCCACAACUCAAUGUACUAUAACAGGUUUUUCACAGCACCUCUUCCACAGGGUGAAGUUGAUUGAUGUCUUUGAUUAGCCCAAUUUUAGCAUAGAGGAUGGGCAGUUUCUUCUCCCGCUUGCCUGGAAACAAUAAAAAAAUGCAAAGUCUGAUAUUUCUAGUUGAC